GGAGGGUGCAAGCAUUAAUCGGAAUUAUUGGGCGUAAAGGGCGCGUAGGCGGAAAAGAAAGUCAGACGUGAAAUCCCGGGGCUUAACCCCGGAACUGCAUUUGAGACUUCUUUUCUAGAGGGUAGACGGAGAAAGCGGAAUUCCACAUGUAGCGGUGAAAUGCGUAGAUAUGUGGAAGAACACCAGUGGCGAAGGCGGCUUUCUAGUUUAUACCUGACGCUGAGGCGCGAAAGCAAGGGGAGCAAACAGGAUUAGAUACCCUGGGUAGUCCUUGCCGUAAACGAUGUAUACUUGGUGUAGCUGGUCUCAACCCCCCAGCUGUGCCGUAGCUAACGUGUUAAGUAUACCGCCUGGGGAGUACAGUCGCAAGGCUG
rnacentral:rRNA from 1 species